rnacentral:rRNA from 1 species
GUCUUUUUGAUUAUAAUUUAAAGUCUGACCUGCCCAAUGAGUAUUUGAAUGGCCGCGGUAAUUUGACCGUGCAAAGGUAGCAUAAUCAUUAGUUUUUUAAUUGAAAGCUGGAAUGAAUGGUUGGACGAGAGAAUAACUGUCUCAAUUUAAUUGGAUAUAGAAUUUUAUUUAUAAGUAAAAAAGCUUAUAUAAUUUUAAAAGACGAGAAGACCCUAUAGAGUUUUAUAUUUUAUUAUAUUAAUUAAGGUUAGAAUAUUUAUAUUUUUAAUAUAAUAAGGUAUUUUGCUGGGGCAGCAGAGAAAUUGAAGAAACUUUUUUUUAUUAAUAUACAUUGAUUUAUGGUUUAAUGAUCCAUUUUUUAUGAUUACAAGAUUAAAUUACCUUAGGGAUAACAGCGUAAUUUUUUUUUAGAGUUCUUAUCGAAAAAAGAGUUUGCGACCUCGAUGUUGGAUUAAAAUUAACUUUUGGUGUAGGGGCUAAAUGGUUAGGUCUGCUCAACCUUUAAAAUAUUACA